rnacentral:rRNA from 1 species
GACGAACGCUGGCGGCGUGCUUAACACAUGCAAGUCGAACGGAAAGGCCCUGCUUUUGUGGGGUGCUCGAGUGGCGAACGGGUGAGUAACACGUGAGUAACCUGCCCUUGACUUUAGGAUAACUUCAGGAAACUGGGGCUAAUACCGGAUAGGAGCUCCUGCUGCAUGGUGGGGGUUGGAAAGUUUCGGCGGUUGGGGAUGGACUCGCGGCUUAUCAGCUUGUUGGUGGGGUAGUGGCUUACCAAGGCUUUGACGGGUAGCCGGCCUGAGAGGGUGACCGGCCACAUUGGGACUGAGAUACGGCCCAGACUCCUACGGGAGGCAGCAGUGGGGAAUAGUGCACAAGGGGCGGAAGCCUGAUGCAGCAACGCCGCGUGCGGGAUGACGGCCUUCGGGUUGUAAACCGCUUUCGCCUGUGACGAAGCGUGAGUGACGGUAAUGGGUAAAGAAGCACCGGCUAACUACGUG